UACGUAGGGGGCAAGCGUUGUCCGGAUUUAUUGGGCGUAAAGAGCGUGUAGGCGGCUUUACAGGUCCGUUGUGAAAACUCGAGGCUCAACCUCGAGACGCCGGUGGAAACCGUAAAGCUAGAGUCCGGAAGAGGAGAGUGGAAUUCCUGGUGUAGCGGUGAAAUGCGCAGAUAUCAGGAAGAACACCCGUGGCGAAGGCGGCUCUCUGGGACGGUACUGACGCUGAGAUGCGAAAGCGUGGGGAGCGAACAGG
rnacentral:rRNA from 1 species